UUUUGUAAACAAAAGUGUGAAGUUAGCAGGAAAAAACGAGAGCUUGAAAAAAAGAAAAAAAAAUUCCUGCUAGGUUUGUGAAGUGAGUGGGGAAAAACAACAAAAUGGAAUCACAUAACUGUUAGUAGGCGGAGCUUAAAUACCAAAAUAAGAAAAAGUUAUUUUUUUCUUGCUAGGCUCGUGAAGUGAGCAGGAAAAAACUUCAUAAUGGUGUGUAAUUUUUGGUGGUCGGCAUAUCACUUUAGGUUCCGUUAGAUUAGUAAACAGGUAAGAAAAAAACAUCGGUUGAGGAUUGUCAACAAUUAUUUGACGAACAAGGAAUAAGGUUCAAGAAUAAGAAAUUCUACUAAAACCAACAACGAUACGGUUUUUACAAUGUAAUGUUGAUUGAGUUCGUUUAUAUAUACUCAACCACAAGGCGUCGCUUUGAGCAGAGCUCGUUCUCCGUAAUAAUGUAGCAUAGGACUGGCACUUACAUGUUGCAUACGUUUUUUGCGAACUGGACAAACAAGUCGUGAUUUACUGGAAUGCUUUAUUGCCCCGAGGGAAGGAUUUUGGAUGCAGUGCUAGAUGCAAUAAACCGGUAAAAUAUCCUAGCGACUUGGGAGAAAAAGUUAUGCAGCCCAUUUUAAUUGAUCGUGAGAAUUGAUUGUUAAACAAAGUCAAGAUAAUAUUAAUUCCCGUACUGGCUUGCUGCAUAAGCUAAUAAAUAUUGAACAGUGUAAAGGCUACUAGGAAGGCGUUGGAAAAUGUUUCACGAUAUCCGUUCCGAACAAGAUAUUGUUUCCAGCGAAUAAGUUUCUGGACGAGCUGAACUACUUUUUAUACAGUUUUGUCGAUGGUGUCAUCUGCUAUGGUGCGGAUGGAGAAUCCAACAUAGAUUUGAUUACAGUGUUAUUCUAAACUAACAUCUGUUAUCAAGGCGGAAAAGUUUCUUCGCAACUGCUACUACAAAAAGUGAGUAAAGGUGCUGCAUUCUGUCAUUACAAUCUGCAGAUUAUCAUGGUGCAAAUAAUAGAGAACAG